UCUUCUUAAAAAGAGAUAAAAGUCACAUGAGACAUGACAGCUGCCAAAUUUUCUUCAUGACCGCCUGGUGAUACACAAACAUCAGGGGCCACUUUCAAGGAAGGCAACUCUUGCGAGAAACUGCCGGCAAUUUUACGUUGAGUGCUUUAUGACUUCCGUUUUUUGUUUCCUGUCCAGUAAAAUGGGCUGUUGGAAUGGUCUGAGCCACAAGGAGGAAGGAUUUGAUCAAGAAGAGUUGAAAUGUUAUUGCCUGGAUUUCACGACUCUCUGGGCUUGUCUACAUGGGCAUGAAAACCCAGAUUCACCCUAAAUUGGCCCCUGGCUGUCCUCACGACAUUGCUGCAUGCCUGGCCAUAGAAUUUGCUUCAUUGAAGUUUUAGACCUGGGCCUUCGAUUGGACAUCUCACAUCAGCAGCAGCAUGAAUACUCUCUUGGUACUGUUCCUCUGCACUCUGCUUCCAACUUUGGGUAAGAUCUCAUUGAUAACUGACUUAAAGUGGGUUCAGUUAUUAAAUGCUGUUAUGUCCCCUCCCCCAGUCUCCAUAGUCAUAUAUUAACAUUCAAAAAAAGCCAUAUGGUUAUGCCGAUGUUAUUGGAAGACUAGUACAAGUAUCAAGAGACAGGCACAGAAUUAGCUUCCAAUGGAGAAAAGGAGUUGUAAGUUUUACUUUCGUUUUGAGUCUUCAAACAUUCAAGCUCUUUUGGAGCCAAACAUUAGGAGAAAUCCAU